UACGGAGGGUGCGAGCGUUAAUCGGAAUAACUGGGCGUAAAGGGCACGCAGGCGGACCUUUAAGUGAGGUGUGAAAGCCCCGAGCUUAACUUGGGAAUUGCAUCUGAAACUGGUUGGCUAGAGUCUUGUAGAGGGGGGUAGAAUUCCAUGUGUAGCGGUGAAAUGCGUAGAGAUGUGGAGGAAUACCAGUGGCGAAGGCGGCCCCCUGGACAAAGACUGACGCUCAGGUGCGAAAGCGUGGGGAGCAAACAGG
rnacentral:rRNA from 1 species